rnacentral:rRNA from 1 species
GAUGAACGCUGGCGGCGUGCCUAAUACAUGCAAGUAGAACGCUGAAGGAAGGAGCUUGCUCUUUCCGGAUGAGUUGCGAACGGGUGAGUAACGCGUAGGUAACCUGCCUGGUAGCGGGGGAUAACUAUUGGAAACGAUAGCUAAUACCGCAUAACAGUAGAUGUUGCAUGAUAUCUACUUAAAAGGUGCAAUUGCACCACUACCAGAUGGACCUGCGUUGUAUUAGCUAGUUGGUGAGGUAACGGCUCACCAAGGCGACGAUACAUAGCCGACCUGAGCGGGUGAUCAGCCAGACUGGGACUGAGACACGGCCCAGACUCCUACGGGAGGCAGCAGUAGGGAAUCUUCGGCAAUGGACGGAAGUCUGAGCGAGCAACGCGGCGUGAGUGAAGAAGGUUUUCGGAUCGUAAAGCUCUGUUGUAAGAGAAGAACGAGUGUGAGAGUGGAAAGUUCACACUGUGACGGUAUCUUACCAGAAAGGGACGGCUAACUACGUG